rnacentral:rRNA from 1 species
GACGAACGCUGGCGGCGUGCUUAACACAUGCAAGUCGAGCGAUGAAGCUCCUUCGGGAGUGCAUCAGCGGCGGACGGGAGAGUAACACGUGGGUAACCUGCCUCAUAGAGGGGAAUAGCCUUUCGAAAGGAAGAUUAAUACCGCAUAAGAUUGUAGUACCGCAUGGUACAGCAAUUAAAGGAGUAAUCCGCUAUGAGAUGGACCCGCGUCGCAUUAGCUAGUUGGUGAGGUAACGGCUGACCAAGGCGACGAUGCGUAGCCGACCUGAGAGGGUGAUCGGCCACAUUGGGACUGAGACACGGCCCAGACUCCUACGGGAGGCAGCAGUGGGGAAUAUUGCACAAUGGGGGAAACCCUGAUGCAGCAACGCCGCGUGAGUGAUGACGGUCUUCGGAUUGUAAAGCUCUGUCUUUAGGGACGAUAAUGACGGUACCUAAGGAGGAAGCCACGGCUAACUACGUGCCAGCCGCCGCGGUAA